UACGGGCUCCGGCUCCUAGCGCCUGGUCCAGGGGCUGAGAACAGGGACCCACAACAGACCGACACACUGACCCACCCGCAGGCCCUAGGGACUGACAGCAGCGCUGCCCGGCCCCCGCCUGCUGCGGCCGAAAGCCCGGGGCGUCCGUCAGGUCCUAGAGCCCUUUGUCCCCGCUUUGUCUAAAAGACUCAGAAUUCAUCGAGACCGGGAAACCGAUCUUCAGACAAGCAUUGCAGAGUGCAAUGGCCAUCCCGGGUUUCGUCAUUCAGGCGGGGCCACAGGAAAUUUGGCCUGGCAGCGAUGCUCUAGGGCCGAUAGUGGUUGCUGAGGGUGGGAAGAGGUUUGGACGAACUCGACCUUUAUUUCUUUAAAGGUUUAUCAAUCCAGGACACGCGGACACUGAUGGAAGAGAAAACCGAACUUACAUCAGACACUCUGGACCGCUGGUUCUGCCACUUGCUGGGAGCCUUAAAGACACCAGACCAAGGUGAUUAAAUGAAGGAGGAAGAGGCUGGAGCAAAUCACCCAUGACUGUGGUGGAAAGAAAAGAGUUGGGGAUGGCAGUGUGUGAGAGUCUUCCUGUUGCUCAAGAGAGAAGAUAAGGGAAUUAAUCCACCAGAGGAGCAUCCAUUUUUCCCAUUAGGCUGACUGAGCUGGGGACACCUGAGCCAGCUGAACAGACUAAGGAAAAAAAGAGAAAUAUUUCAGAAAAAUUUGGAACAUUAACUAAGAAAAAUAGAAAAAAAUUUAAGUGGAUAUUAAUAAGCAAAAGUAUCCAGAGUCAGUUUGGGAAGGUCAGUUUAUUAGGAAUCACUCAUUCAUCCAUCAUGGACUAUGUGCCUAGAGGUGUGCCCGGCAUCUUUUUUCAUUCACUGUCUCUUUAAUACCUAUUAAUAAAACAGUUUUCUCCCCAUUGGGAAGUGUGAUGUUAAUAGGCACU